AGGAUGAACGCUGGCGGCGUGCUUAACACAUGCAAGUCGAACGGGAUCCAUCAGGCUUUGCUUGGUGGUGAGAGUGGCGAACGGGUGAGUAAUGCGUGACCGACCUGCCCCAUGCACCGGAAUAGCUUCUGGAAACGGGUGGUAAUGCCGGAUGCUCCAUCACACCGCAUGGUGUGUUGGGAAAGCCUUUGCGGCAUGGGAUGGGGUCGCGUCCUAUCAGCUUGAUGGCGGGGUAACGGCCCACCAUGGCUUCGA
rnacentral:rRNA from 1 species